rnacentral:tRNA from 3 species
UAUCUUGUGGGCUAAAGGGUAAGCCGAGAAUUUUUGGUGUUCUACAAUGUAGGUUCGAAUCCUGCCAAGAUAA